CACGGGGGGAGCGAACGUUGUUCGGAAUCACUGGGCGUAAAGGGCGUGUAGGCGGUUCGGUAAGUGGAAUGUGAAAUCCCCCGGCUUACCCGGGGAACUGCAUCCCAUACUGCUGGACUUGAGUGCGGGAGAGGAUGGAGGAAUUCCUGGUGUAGCGGUGAAAUGCGCAGAUAUCAGGAAGAACACCCGUGGCGAAGGCGACUCUUUGGUCUGUAACUGACGCUGAGGCGCGAAAGCGUGGGGAGCAAACAGG
rnacentral:rRNA from 1 species